rnacentral:sRNA from 1 species
UACAUGGUGCUGUCGCUAUUUAUGUCAGC